UAAUUUUUCAUAAGUUUAGUAUAAAACUAGGAUCACUCAGAGAUAAAUUAUUCGUUUAUCUCUCAGUGAUCUUCGCCUGUGUCACUUGUGUGUGGUUUUUGCAGCAUGGCUCAGGGCAGGACUGAUGGAUGGUAUGGAAAAUAGAGAACCCAGAACUGAGCUGAUCCUUAUGUGCCCUGUGGUGUUUGAAGGAGAAAGGCAAUGCUGACCACUACAGAUGUACUGGAGGUCAGCUGGAUGGAGUGGAGACUGGGCAGGAGCUCUGCCUCACAAAGGAUUCCUCCUGUCAGGAGCACUUUCCUGUGAGACCAGAGGCAGCACACUGGGGGAGAAGAACAUUGUCUUGUUUGCUGGGUUUUCCAUGUCUGUAUCCAGAACCACAGCAGAGAAUCACUGCAGCCCACUGCAUUCAGCUUAUUGCACCACAGCUGAUUCCAUUUUCAAAAAUUCAGCUGUAACAAGUAUAACAGCAAGAUGUGACAUGACAAGUCCUGAAGAUCCCAAAACAGCUGGGAGAAUAUAUCUGAUCUUAACACAAGGGGAAAAUGCACCCAGAAAAUGAAUGAGUGAAGUUACGCCUGCAUAUUAAACAGUUAAAAAGCUCAAUCAUUAAGCUAUUAAACUGACCAAGAUUUUAUAAUCAACAUUUCCUAAUAAAACUGUUAUUUAUAGUUGUUGUAAAGAAAAA
rnacentral:lncRNA from 1 species